rnacentral:rRNA from 1 species
AUGGACGCCUACGAGGCCACCAAGGUGGUGUUCGCACGGGUCCAGGGGCUCGUCGACGCGGACCUCGCCUCCAAGAUCAUGGGCAUGCUGCUCACCCAGGACAAGAGCGAGGAGGAUAUGAUCCGCCUCGCCUUCGGCCCCGAGCACCUCCUCCAGUCCGUCGUCGCCGACCUCGCGGCCUGCAGCAAACCCCCCUCCCCGCCCGCGCCGGCAUGGAGGAUGGCGCCGGGUGCGGCUGGAGGAGAUGCUGAAGGCGGCCUCCCGUUCGGCGCCGCAUCCGAAGCGUUCUACCCCGAGGAGGAGUACGGCUGCUGGUCUCCGGCGAGCGGCACUCAUCACCGCCGGAGCUUCUCGCUGAGCGACGCCGAGGGCGGGUGGAAGCCGUGCCAGUACUUCGCCCGGGGGUUCUGCAAGAACGGCUCCGGCUGCCGCUUCCUGCACGGGCUGCCCGAGGACGUCGCCGAGCAGGAGAUGGCGGUCAUGCGCGCCAAGGCCCUCGCCGCCGCGCGGUCGCAGAUGAUGGCGCCCGCCUUCCCCUUCUCGCCAUCGCCGCCCAAAGGCCUCAGCUUCCUCCUACAGCAGCAGAGCGAGUCCCAAAGGGCGGCGGACAUGCUGUUCGCCGGAGGCGAUGACAUGCACAGGUUCUCCCACCGGUCGCCUCGCAUGGACCGCGGCGACCUCGCCAUCAACCACGGCGCGCGCCAGAUCUACCUCACCUUCCCCGCCGACUCCACCUUCACCGAAGAGGACGUGUCAAGCUACUUCAGCAUGUACGGGCCGGUACAGGACGUGCGCAUCCCGCACCAGCCGAAGCGCAUGUUCGGCUUCGUCUCCUUCGUCUACCCGGAGACGGUGCGGCUCGUCCUCGCCAAGGGCAACCCACACUUCGUCUGCGACGCGCGCGUCCUCGUCAAGCCUUACAAGGAGAAGGGCAAGGUCCCCGACAGGUUCAGGCAUGGCGGCGGCGGCGGCCACUGCCUCUCUCCUCACCACCGCGAGUUCGCCUCCGUGGGCAGCGCGCUGCCGCCUGCCGGUCUGCUCGACUCCAGGGACCCCUUCGACCUCCAGCAGCCGCAAAUCGGGCAGAGAAUGCUGUACGGGAGCAUGGCCGGCCACGAGGCGGCGUUUCUGAGGAGGAGGCUGGAGGAGCAGCAGGAGGCGGCGGAGCUGCAGCAUGCCAUCGAGCUGCAAGGCCGCCGGCUCAUGGGGCUGCAGUUUCUUGACCUCAAGAACAGGGGCCACCACCUCCUCGGCUCCCCCGUGGGCUCACCUUCCGACGGCAAUGGCGGCUGCUUCAGUGGGAACGGCAAUGGCGUCCAUCUUGAUGACGCCAUUAGCACCAUCCAAGAUAACAGCAAUCUGAGCAGUGGUCUUUUCAUGGGUCCAUAUGCUGCUGCUUCUGUGAUUUCUAAAGAAGGGAAGCAGGAGUGUCAGGAGGAGGGUGGUGAUGGCAAUGGCAAUGGCGAUGGCAGUCCCAAGCAGGCAGUCAACUCUGGGGAAGAGGGGAGGAGGGAAUCUGGUCCUGGGGCAGCAGCUGCAUCCAAUGUUGUUUGUGAAUACCAAGAAAGUGGCAUGGAGCACACCCACCACCUGCCUGGUAGCCCCUUUGCUUCCCCCACCAAGGAGGCCUCCAUUGCUGCUGCUGAGCAGCUGACAGCUCACACUGGUGCCAUGGGCAACAGUAGCAGCCCCCACCUGGUGGCCUCUUCUCUUUUCCCGCCUACAAAACCUCUCUACAGCUCCUGCUUCUCUCAAGUGCCUAGAUUGUCGUCUGGGCAGGGAGCAAUUGGGCUGUGA